GACUGUGCCACUGCACUCCAGCCUGGGAAACAGGUGAGACUCCACCUCAAAAAAAAAAACAAAUCAUGCCAGACAGAAGUCCACCCAAAAAACCCCUCAUCCCACCCCCAGGACCCAGGCCCCGACCCUGGCCACCCAGGACAAACUCCCACCCCACACCCGGGACCAAGGCCCCGGCCCUGCCCCGAAGGCCCCACCGGGGACCCAGGCCCCGGCCCUGCCCCAAACUCCCACCCCACACCCGGGACCAAGGCCCCGGCCCUGCCCCGAACGCCCCACCCGGGACCCAGGCCCCGGCCCUGCCCCAAACUCCCACCCCACACCCGGGACCAAGGCCCCGGCACUGCCCCGAACGCCCCACCAGGGACCCAGGCCCCAGCCCUGUCCCGAACUCCCGCCCCACACCU
rnacentral:lncRNA from 1 species